UGCGAUUUUCCGAUAUCAGUGAUUUCUGUGAAUGCUACUUUUCAGUAUCUGCUACUCUUAACUGUGAUUUGUCGUAGUUAAGAGUCGCAGUUAAGGAACGUAGGUCGCGUAUCCCUCCGCCACUGCGAUUUCUGCUACUUCCGCGAUUUCUGUGACUUCUGCUACUUCUGCGAUUUUUGUGACUUCUGUGAUUUCUGUGACUUCUGCUACUUCUGCGAUUUCUGUGACUUCUGCGAUUUCUGCGACUUACCACCGUAUGAAAAAGUUACAUCUGCCCACACAGAAAAUUCCAUCUCAACAAAUCUGUCAUUGGUACCCGAACUACAUUUCAGUCACUCAGUAAAUUGAUAACUCAAAAUAUCAUUGUCAACAGAUCUGGAGAAAUUGCCACUGCGUCUUUAGACCGUUUUCGUCAGACGAGAGACACAGUUCUGACUCUUGAUUACUGGUUGCUGUACGUAUCUAUCCACAUAAAGGCUUUUGAGAGAGACUCGUGAAGAUUCAAGACAGCUCUUAGAGGAUUUGCAGUUUAAAAGUGACAUAAUUGUGAAAUAAGUG